rnacentral:lncRNA from 1 species
GCAAGGGUUUCAAAUAUAUAAAUACACACACAGACACAGAGAAACCACCCUACCCCACAAAUUCUCCCAGUAUAUUGGUUGUAUCCUACACUGGUGUAACAUACAGAACUCCAUUAAAUUCAAUUGAACCAUCUUUCACAUUUUUUCUGCCUUGAAGAAAUCCUCUUCCCUAUUAUCGAUCUGAGAAAUUAUCAUAAGGUAUUCUAUGAGUUUCAAUACAAGCAUAUAUGUUCACUUGUUGUAUUUAGAUUUUUACACCAUUUCACACAUCUGAUGCAUUUCUUUAUAUUUCUUAUCACAGGUAAAACUCUGGGCAAAGGUUUGUUCAUGGUGUUUUACUGGGAGAUUCUUCAAUUCAAGUUCUCUUCUUUUUCUCGUUUAUUUUUAAUUUCAGUUACUUUUCUCAUUAACAAAGUUAAAGAUUUGUUGUGAACCCGGAUUUUUUUUUCCCAUUUCCAUUAAAGACCGGUGUUAGUGUUGGAUAACUAUUGAUAUAAACAUGUGUCGUAGAUUUUUUAUUAAUUUACGUGGGAAGAUCUAAUAUACCUUGUGAAACAUUACUAUUUAAAUGAAAUAAUAGCCAACAUACAUCUAUCGUCGUUUUAUUUUGAAAGUCAUUAAUUGGAUAAACUGUGAAAACCUUCCCUUCUCAUUUAUUUAUUUUUUAUUUUAAAACUCAGUAAUCGAAUGUCCAAUAAAAAACUUCCUCUUCUUUAGCUUUAUUUUGAAAAUAUCUUGUUGAACUCUAGGCAAUAAUCUUAUUUAUUAGCCAUUAACUUAGCAAAAAGUACGCUUAAAAUAAGUAGAAAAUUGAAUAAAAAGAUAGGGUACUGGAAAAUCAGAUACAGUUUUGAGUUUUAUGUAAUAAUUAGUUCAUAAACUAUAUAUCAGUUCUUGAAGAGAGAAAUUUUACAUUUAGGGUAACUCUAUAUGCCAGCCGUGAAAGAAAAGGUUUGAAUUUAUUUUACAGGUAGAAUCUUUUCCAGGACUUUCAGCUGAUAAGAUAAACUCCAACAUACCUGUUUGUCCUAAAAAAUUGACUCUUGUGCUAGGUACAGUUUAAAUCAUUUACCGUUUGGUAGUGUUGCCGGCCAGAAUAAACGUUUUCUGUAUUUCAAUAUGUUCCCAUAACCUCCAGUCCGUUUGGAUUUUAUUCGUUCUCAUAUAUUUUUUAACAUAGAGAGUAUUUAAAAAUAAAUGAUUUUAGUUCCAUUCUUCUUUUUCUUGUUGGAUUGAUAUACAUAACCAGGUUCUUCUCAUCUCUCUAUGUAUGUUCCAGGAAACCGUGAUGGCAUCGAAGACACAUGUAGUUGAAAUGCAUGAAGGAAACCUGGGUGAAGUUCAAGAACUCAAUCAACAAGCUAAGAGGGAGCGAUAUCGCCACACCCAAUAUCAGAUUUGUGAAAUGGAAGAAUAUGCUAAAUUUAACAUUUCUUUCUCUUUUUGGAUGAGCUGAAUAUCGUACAUGUUUAGAAACUUUAAUUUGUUAGAACACAUAAUUUGUCGUCAACUAAUCGUCAGUUGUUCACUUGUAUAUCUGUUUUAUUUGUGUACUAACAACAAAGUUUAGAGUUUUCAAGGAGUGUCCACGCCCAAACGUCAAGCACCAAAAUGAACUCAGCCAUAAAUUAGGAUUGGAGCCCUCGCAAGUUAAAUUCUGGUUCAUAAGCAUGCCAAAAUAAAGGCACAUAUAGACAUACAAAAAUGUUGUUACAUUUUUUUGUGCACACGCGAAGAAACGAGUAAUAUGUGUGUGUGAAAGCUAUCUUCUCCAUUUUUGUGUAUAUUUCAAAUAUUGGAACAUUCACAUUCCCAUGAGACAAAAUUAAUAAA